UCAAUGCGUUUCAAAUAGGCCACUCCACCCUCAACUCUGUUUCCUCUGUCAAAACCACAGCAAACUGAGUCUUGGGGAGAGAAAAACAUUUUUGCAUCAGCCGUUACCAUCACAGUCAUUGGCUGUUUUAGCAACGAGUCACAGAGAUCGACAAAGAUUACUGGCUGCCCAAGAUGUCAUACCACCACUCCCCACACCCACAUUACCACAGAAAACCAAAAGUAAAACAUUAUGUCAUACUUCUGCAGGAGAUAUUUUAGACGUUAUUGCCUGAUGUGUUUUCAGCGGCAUGCUGGUACAGCAAAUUCAUUCAUUUUUCACACUGGCCACUAACAAUGUCUUCCUUUAAAUGGCCUUCCUGGGCAGGGCUCCCAGAGAAGCCGGCUAAAUAAACAGAAACAGAUGAAAGUGCAAGCCUUCUGCCUCUCUUUCCUGGCUUAUUUCCUGUGAGCCGAUGGCUGUAUCCUGAAAGUCUGUGCUGUCCCACCCUCUCCAUCCGGACUGCCGCUCCUUCACCCUUCACUGCAGUGAGCAGCCAAUCUCCCUGGAACUGGACCUGCCUCAAAAGAUAUCAAUCUUUAUCUGUUCCAGUCAUUCCAAUGUGUGAUAUGACUCACAAUGUGAUUCUAGCUAAAAUAUUUAUCUUAUAGAUAGGCUAUUGUUGUUUUAGGUAGGUCAUUUACUCUCCUUUGUUUCAUUCCAAACAUAUAUGACUUGCAUACAAAUAGAGCUGCAUGGUUCUGGAUAAAUUGAGAAUCAAGAUUUAGUUUGUGUCUGUGCAUGCUACUGAACAGAAAACUGAACUAGAUAAUGUAAUUUACUAGAGGUUCAGACAGCAUGUUAAUUGCUGCAGUCUAUUUAAAACGUUUAAUUAAUACAAAUUAAUUGUUUUUUU